rnacentral:rRNA from 1 species
GAUGAACGCUGGCGGCGUGCCUAAUACAUGCAAGUCGAGCGAACAGACGAGGAGCUUGCUCCUCUGACGUUAGCGGCGGACGGGUGAGUAACACGUGGAUAACCUACCUAUAAGACUGGGAUAACUUCGGGAAACCGGAGCUAAUACCGGAUAAUAUAUUGAACCGCAUGGUUCAAUAGUGAAAGACGGUUUUGCUGUCACUUAUAGAUGGAUCCGCGCCGCAUUAGCUAGUUGGUAAGGUAACGGCUUACCAAGGCAACGAUGCGUAGCCGACCUAAGAGGGUGAUCGGCCCCACUGGAACUGAGACACGGUCCAGACUCCUACGGGAGGCAGCAGUAGGGAAUCUUCCGCAAUGGGCGAAAGCUUGACGGAGCAACGCCGCGUGAGUGAUGAAGGUCUUCGGAUCGUAAAACUCUGUUAUUAGGGAAGAACAAAUGUGUAAGUAACUAUGCACGUCUUGACGGUACCUAAUCAGAAAGCCACGGCUAACUACGUG